AUGCACGGACUGAAGGGUGAGAUGAAUCUGCUGUGCAGCUGCAGGACGAAGAUGAGUGUGUGUCGUCUGUGUCUGCUGCUGUCUCUGCUCUGCGUCUGCGCUCACGUCUACAUGCAGCUCGAGGGUCUGCAUCUCCGGAAACAGAGCCAGCAUCACAGGACUGUCGCCACGGCAACAGAUGCUGCAGCUGAUGCUGGAUCCACCUGCUGCUCAGCGCUGAAACAUCACAGACAGGUUUCUCGAUGGAAGAUCCGGCUGGAGCCGUGGGCCGCAGAGACUCGAGGUUUUCAGGAGGAAGCGGAUCGGUUCCUCAGAUACAUCUCCACUCCGCAGCUGUCCUGCCAGAGACCCGCGUCUGUGCCGCCGGUGUUUGAAGCAGAGCAUCAUGGGUCGUGGCUGCUGUGUUUGGACCGCAGGUUCAGUCUGGCACAGCGCAUCGUGUCCAAACACUGCCGCGUCUAUUCGCUCAGGUCAGUCCCACGCUUCUGCCAUUUAUUUGUGACACAUCAUAAACAUUUUAAACUCUGUAUUAUGUUAAAAAUCAGAGCUUUAGGCUCUGGGUCAAACUGACCUGAAUUUAAUUCAACAUAAUUUGCCAUAAAAUCACAGAUUGAAAAGCAAAAACACAGAUCAGGUAAAAACAGUAGACCCUUAAUGUUUAUAAAAAAAGAAAAGAAAAGAAAUUUGUGAAAAAAAAAAAAAAUUAUUUAUCAUUAUGAAUCUUAAUUUUGUAACAUCAAUCAUUCGUAAUCUUUCAUCAACUGUUCAUAUUAAUUUAUGUGUUUUAUAUGUGAAACAUUUCAACCUGUAUAUGUUAUAAAUCUGGGUUUGAACUGUAUAUAUGCGGAUUAGAUUUAAUAUUUCACUAAAUUCACCAAAAAUCCAAAUAUGGAGGAAAAAAGGUAAGAACACAACACCAUUUAAAUAAACAGUUCUUACACAUUACAGAAAAUAAACAUGAGAACAGAUGAUUUGUAAAAAUGUGUUUAACAACUAAUUCUUUUUUUUUUAAACAUGAACUGUUAUAUUUAUAAACAUUGUAAAAAGUAAAAUACUUUUAAUAUAAACAUAAAUUUUUUUUACAUAAGCGGUCAAUUUUAUAAAUAAUAUUGUAAAUAGCAAAAUACUUUGAAUAUAUAUGUAUAUAUAUAAAUAUAUAUUAAAAAAUGUAACAAACUGUAAAUUUUAGCGAAAUAUUUUUACAUUUAUUUUAAUAUUUAUUUUUAAACAAUUUAAACAGAAAAAUAUUAAUUCUACACACUACUCAAAUAUUUCAGCGAGAAACGUUUCAGUCAGUUGACCUUCUUUAGUUUAUUGAUGAAAACAUUGCUCAUUAAACUAUUCUGAUAUUAUGAUAAUGCCAACUUGUGUCGGAUUAAUAGUUUUCUAGUUCAUAUUGUAUUUUAAUCCCAUGAACCCAGGAUAGAUUUGGGUGUGUGAGGCAAUGUAUGUUUUAAUGUUCCUUCCUUCAACCAUGAAAUAUGGGCAAACAUCUUAAUUGUAAUACAAGUUUUGUACACACAACCCAUCAGAGUCGCGAACGUUUGCAUCCACGUUCAUGACUCUAAAUGAGAAAAAGCCUCCAAAUAUCAAGACAAAACUCAACGGAUAACCAACUUUCUGUGAGGACUCGAUAUAUUACAGCUCUCUACACUCUCUGAAGGCAAUCUGAGUGUGUUUGAGCAUGUAAACGCCUGCGAGUGCUAGUCUGACACACAUUCACACGCAUGCACACGCAUGCAUGCAGAUGAUCUGUGUGUGUGUGUGUGAACUCAUCAUACAGUCAGAUUCACACACAUUAUUCAUGCAGAAGCAGCAGCAGACAAUCAGUUUCAGAAUCUCAAUCUCUGUUUCAACACUAUAAACAAGCAUCAGAGUUAUUAUAGUAACUAAAAUCAUAAAAAAGUUAUUUUUAAAAAAUCAGAAAAAUAUAAAUUAAAAUAAUUACAUUGAACUUACUAUCAUUAAUUAAUUAAUUUAAUUAUUUGUCAACAUUUUUCAGCAACAUUUCUCAUUUUCAAUAGUUUGUUAAAUUGUUAAAAUAACUAAUACAAAUUUAUAAAAACUGUAUAGGUAUAUUACAAAUCAAAACGAUUACUAAAAUUAAAUUUAAAAUAUAUUUUUUUAAAUAUUAAAAAAUAAAAACUAUAUUAGUAUCUCAGUGAUGCUAAAAUAACAGUCUUGCAUGAAGAAAACAAAGCCUAUUUUUGGGAUUAUUAUAAUUGUUUUGUAUUUUGAAAGUAUUUUCAUGAGAAUUACAGUAAACAUUUUCCACCAAAUUUGCAUUAUUGUAAUGCGAAACAAAUGCAUAAUUAAUAUCAAAUAAUAUCAUUCAUUGAUGUCAGUACAGAAAAAAACUGCAAUAUAUGAAUACAAUUUAAACAAUAGCAGACUAAAGAGAAUUUAAAUUCUGUUUGAUAAUCAUUAGAAUAGUGUCAAAAUGCAAUAAAUAGUUAAUUCAUAUUCUUCGUUUUUAUUAUUUACUUAAACCACAAAAUACUUUAAAUAAACUUUAAUUGAAAUAAAAUAUUAAAAACUUUAAACUUUCUUUAUUUAAGCUAGUUGCCAAGGCAACAUAGUCUCUUUUUCAUUUAGUUUAAGUUGAAGUACCUAAAAAAGAAUGAAUGUAAAUUAUAAACAUAAUUUACUAAAUUAACUAAAUGUUACUAAAUUACUAAAAUGUUAAAGGAUGAUUACAAAUGAAACAUUUAACUGCAAAAUAAAUAAAUAACCAAACAAAUAAAUGAAAUCAUUCAUUGAUGUCAGUACAACAAAUGCUGCCAUGUAUAAAUACAGCUGGGUAAAUUAUGUUUAGUAAUCAUAAAAAAGUCAAAAUGCAAAGCAAAUGAAAAUAAAUAAAUAAAUAAAUCGUGCUUAAUGCACAUAUGCUUCAUUUUCUGUAUAAAAUAUAAUUUAUUAUAUUUCCUUUUAUCGUUUUGAAAUUUUGACGUUUUUGACACGCUCCCAAAAACUAACCUUUACCCACCAAAAUAUUUCUAGAUGAUCCAUUCUAGAGCAAAUUCCAGAAGCACAAGCCAAAGAGCCGUAUUACUACACAAGUGCACUCAUUAGUGAACAGGACAGCGAGAGUUCAGUGAGCAUCGCUUGCGUUUGAUUGAUGCCAUCGAGUCUUAAAGACACAGCAGCACUUCUUCUGAACAAACAAUCACUUAAUAUUCUGGUCCAGAUCUCAAUAAUAUCAGCCUGCGAGUCUGCAACUGCUUCAACUCCGUGAAAGUUUCCAGAGCACCUCGAAUGAUCGCAGAAAGCGUGAAUCAUCUGCAAUGCAAACACUCAUUUCAGAUCAUUCAGCACAGGUUUGAGCGGCUCUGGACGCAUUACAGACAGAGAGCUGAAUGAAUCAUUCAUGAACGUCUGUCACAAGCGAGCGAAUCAAGCACCUUUGACUCCCGCAGCGAAUCCUCCUCUAGCUAAAACACUCUCCAGAUCUGAUUUCCAGUGGAGACGCUGAUUUAUUCACUGAGUCUGGUAAUGUUCUCCUCACACUCGUUGACUUUAACAUGAUUUAUAAAACAGAUGAGCUGCUAAAAUAGUCAUUAUCUACAUCAGUUAAAGCAACAGUUCACCUGGAAAUGUGCUCAUCCUCAGGUCAGCCGAGAUACAGAUGAGUUUGUUUCUUCAUCAGAUUUGGAGAAAUGUAGCAUUGCUUCACUUGCUCACUGCAGUGAAUGGGUGCCGUCAGAGUGAGAGUCCAAACAGCUGAUAAAAACAUCACAAUAAUCCACAAGUAAUCCACAGCACUCCAGUCCAUCAGUCCAUGUAGAUAUCUGUCUGACAAAAACACCUAACAAAAUUAAGAUUUUAGCUAAUAUAAAAUAAAAAUAGAUGAAAACAAAUGAAAAACAGAGAAUAUACCAAAAUAAAUACUAAAUUCAAGAAUAUAAAAUAAAAACUAGUAUCUACAGUGAUGCUAAAAGUAACUCUAGGUGGUCAGAAUAUAAAUAAAACUAGUAUCUCAGUGAUGCUAAAGUAACUCUGGUGGUUUGAACACGAUUAAGGGAUAAAAGCUGCUUCUCUCAGUGUCUGGAGCUGACGGAUGUGUGUGUGUGUGUGUGUGUGUGUGUGUGUGUGUGUGUGUGUGUGUGUGUGUGUGUGUGUGUGUGUGUGUGUGUGUGUGUGUGUGUGUGUGUGUGUGUGUGUGUGUGUGUGUGUGUGUGUGUGUGUGUGUGUGUGUGUGUGUGUGUGUGUGUGUGUGUGUGUGUGUGUGUGUGUGUGUGUGUGUGUGUGUGUGUGUGUGUGUGUGUGUGUGUGUGUGUGUGUGUGUGUGUGUGUGUGUGUGUGUGUGUGUGUGUGUGUGUGUGUGUGUGUGUGUGUGUGUGUGUGUGUGUGUGUGUGUGUGUGUGUGUGUGCGUACGUAGUGUGUGUGUGUGUGUGUGUGUGUGUGUGUGUGUGUGUGUGUGUGUGUGUGUGUGUGUGUGUGUGUGUGUGUGUGUCAGGAGGAGGAAGUCAUCCAUUACUGGUUCCUUAUGACACUUUGACUGCCAAAGAGAAAUCUAGAGACAGAGAGAAAGCACAAGACAUCCUCAAGUUCUUUCAGAUCAACGGAUACAGCGUCUCAAGGUGAGUGUGUGUGUGUGUGAGUGUGUGUGUGUGUGUGUGUGUGUGUGUGUGUGUGUGUGUGUGUGUGUGUGUGUGUGUAGUGUAGUAGUUAAUAUUUUAUAUAUAUAUAUCUUAUUAAAAAUAUCAUUUAUAUCUAUUAUUUCUAUGGAUAGCUAUAUUUCAUUUCUUAAUAAAAAUGGCAAAUAGUUAUUCUCCAUUUUUAAGCAGAUUUAUGUUUUAAAAAGUAGCUAUUUUUAAACUAUGCUUAAAAAGAAACUAUUUGCC
rnacentral:lncRNA from 1 species